CUCUCCCCAUCUGAUUUCUAGAAAAACAUUCCUUUGUCUGAUUUAGUUUUGUUCCACCUUUUUGGUAUGCUUCCUGUCUUUAAGUUUGGUUGGGUUUUUCUUUUGUUUGCCUCUUCUUGGGCAGAUUCAGUGGGUGCUCAUGCCAGUACCGCCAGCAUAUCUCAGAGAGCACGUGCUUUCGCUUCCCCAUCCUGGAAGUGCACCUCAAGGACCUGAUAGCAGUGGCCCUGCCUGACUGGAGCGACCGCGAGAAGACCCAGGUCAACCUGGCCAAGACCCAGCAGCUGUAUGCAAUCCUCCAGCAGCUAGCGCUGACCCAGACCGCACCACUCAGUGUUGAUGCCACCAUGGACCUGCUCAACCUGCUCAUGGUUUGGCCCGGGUGACUGAUACUGAAUGACUUGAUAGAUUUGUUUUACCGGUUAGCUUUAGCAUUUUAUUUUUGUGUAUUGUUCCUGUCUGGUAUCUCUGGACCAGUACCAUUCAGAGGAAGAGAUCUAUCAGCUGUCUCUGCAGAGGAAGCCACGUACUGCCAGGCGAGGUGAAAUUGUGGGUAAUCCACAUUUCUGUUUUGGUUUGUCCUUCUUCCACGAGCCUGCCUGUGAUAGAGGAAUGGGCAUCUUCAGUGAAGCCCGAAGCCAACCUCAUCAGCAGCAAACGCAUACAGAAGAUGGUUGCGGUAGGCUGUUCAACCUAUUGAAUGCAAUUAUGAAACACGACAAUGAUCCUUUAAUUUGGUCAUAUUUCAGUCAGUGCUUAAGAAUUCCGACGCUGAUGAAGACGACUACAUCUCUACAGGAGGGAUUUGAGAUCAUUAGGACCAAACUCCCAUACCUCUGCAAGUUUGAUGACCUGGAUAAGAGUCAGGAUGGUAGAAUCAGUCAGGAGACGAUCGACUACAUCACCGAGGCUGGGCGUUCAUCCACACGUUUUUAGAGAUGACCUGCAGGAAGCCUACACUUUGCCAUCCCUGUAAAGGGGUUGUAAGAAUGCCGACGCUUCAACUAUCCUGUGGGGUGAGCUGUCACAAAGACUGUUGCAGCCACCUUGCUGUUGAGUGCUGCAAACCAACAAAUGUGCCAGUCACGAUCCUUCAGUGUGCCUGAUAUGGUUUAGCCCCUACACAUUCUACAUCCGAGCAAAUUGCAAAGGAAGCACCCGACUCUCUGGAGGAUGAAGUGUUUGAUGUCCACCUUUUUGAGUACAGUCUCACUUCGUCGGGUGUGUACUCCACAGGGAUGCUGGCCGACAUUUGUCUCCAAUGCUUCCCACACUUUUGUCAAGGUGGCUGCGUGUCAUUUGGGUGGCGGACCAUUCUACACAGGACAUUUUUGUGUGGAAAAACCCCAGCAGCGUUGCAGUUCUUGACCCACUCAAACCAGUGCGCCGGGCACCUACUCCCUUAUCCCGUUUAAAGGCACAUGAAUAUUUUGUCUUGCCCGUUCACCCUCUGAAUGGCACACAUACACAAUCCAUGUCUCGAGGCUUAUAAAUCCUUCUUUAACCCGUUUCCUCCCCUUCAUCUACACUGAUUUUGGAAGUGCAUUUAACAGGUGACAUCAAUCAAGGGAUCAUUAGCUUACACCAGUCAGUCUGUCAUGGAAAGGACCUGUCUCUAAUGUUUUUGUACACUGUGUAUGUCAACAUCUCCUAGUGUGAGCAAUGUGCCUGAUCAAAUGCUCUAUCUGCAAGUGUUUUGAAGUAGUCUCUACAAUUCCUAUCUAAAGUCAUCCUAUUUUUAUACUGCAGUUCUCUAUUUCCUGAAUUAAUUUUGUGGUCCACUUACUAGUUAAUUUUCACAUCAGAAUGAAGACCAACAUUGACAAGAUCACAAACGUUUCCCAUGCUGCCAAGGUGAACUUAAAUGAGGACCCGACAGCAAUGACACUCCGACGAUCUGUGUGAUAGAAAUGUUUUUGCUCCUGUUUGGAUACGCAAUGCACGCUAAGAACAUUGCAAAUAUCUCUGACUUUCUCGAGAAUGUCAACAUUUUCCCCACGUUUUAGAGCUAUUGAACCUGAGGAAGGAUUGUGUAACUAACUAUAUGUUAACUUGCUAAUGAUACUUUGAUUCAGUCAUUGCAUGUUCUGCUGAUUUGUGUAUUUAUUUUCUGAUGAAUGAAUCCUUCAUUCUCUUGGCCAGAGCUUUCACAGUAGGUAAACCUGGAGUACAGUAGAUGCAUAUCUCUGCCUGUGCUUGUAUACGGCUCAUGAUAGCUGAAGGUUGCUUCUCCGCUAGGUGGUGAGGUUUUGUGUCAACACUGCAUAGCGUAGGCUACCACUGGGAUGUAGUAUUCUGUCGUUCUUUCACAUUCCCUGUUUUUAGUGUAGCCCUAUGUUUGUGUAUAAAAUGUGGGAGUGAAUUGUUGAUGACAAGGUAAAUUGAGGUUCUUUCCUCAGCUAGCCAACCAUGUUCAUGUUUGAUUACAUUAUAUUGUGGUACAAUUUUUUAAAAGGCAGAAAGAUCUAUGGUUUUAUAUCAUAGAAUAGAGAUGGCAUCAUGCCCAACUACUUUGGACUUUGCUACCUGUGUACAUACAAUAUGCUGAGGAGUUAUUUGUCUCGCUCUGUUACUCCCAAGUGAUACUCCCAUGAGGGAAGGCAAUUAAUUUACUCUGAGCAGUGGUUUCUAGGAACUUCAAUACAUAGCUGAGAUGAUUCUCUCCGGGAUUGUCACACUGUAAAAUGUGAUAACAGCACAAAUAUAGGCUACAUUUUAUACUUAUUGCUUAAGGUCCGAGGGGUUGUGGUAUAUGGCCGAUGUACCACAGAUAAGGGCUGUUCUUAGGCGCAACACUGAACACUUAUCCGUGGUAUAUCGGCCAUAUACCAUAAACCCCCGAUGUGCCUUAUUGAGAUUAUAAACUGGUUACCAAUGUAAUUAGAGCGGUAAAAAUAAAUGUUUUGUCAUACCCAUGGUAUAUGGUCUGUUUAUAAACUGGGUGGUUCAUGUCCUGAAUGCUGAUUGGUUGAAAGCCAUGGUUUAUCGGUCUGUAUACCACGGGUAGACUUUAUUACUAGUGUAGCCUAUAAGCAGAUGUAGGCAUUGGGUUGUUUUACACUUGCCAAUAUACCAUGGCUAAGGGCUGUAUCAGGGCACUCUGUGUCGCGUCGUGUGUAAGAACAGGCCUUAGCUGUGGUAUAUUGGCCAUAUACCACACUCCCUCGAUCCUUUAUUGCUUAAAUAUACCACACCUGUCAGCAAAUCAGCAUUCUGGGCUCGAACCACUCAGUUUAUAAUAGCCUAUAAUUUUGAAAUCUAUUCCUAUUGCAAAAAACACGACUUAAAAACAUUCUUCUUUAUAUUUUGUGAUAGAGCUUAUCAAUAAUUUUGUCUUUCAAACAGAUUCCAAUUUAGAGCAUUUUGUUGUGUUGGACUUUAGUAGAUAUUCAGUUUGAGAAAUAAUGUUUAGUACUUUUGUGCUGUCUUUUAUUUGAACCACUCAUCUUGCAAACUUGGAGCCUUCAGGUGUUGCUGGCACUCCUGUCAACUUCCAAUUUGGUAGGCUGAGGAUUUGUCACCAUAGUAACUCCACCUCUGGCAUCCUGUAGGCAUUUACUGGCCUGUGAAAACUGAAGCCAUCUCACAAGGGCUAGUCCUAUUUAUAUUGUGGUCGUUUUUUUAAAAUAACGCAAGCAAGGUUAUUAUUGAGGGAGAUGUCCAAACCCGUAUGAUGUUGUCACACUGCAUUAACAGCUUUAUGGAGCUGAGAGAGAAAAUAAAGGGCUUGGAUUAGGUCCAAGGCCAGUUAUCAUGUGUGCAGCGUUUAUACACAUGAGAGCAGACUAUUUAGCAUGUGAAAUAGGGUAUAUAAUAGCCCCAAAUAACUUUUUUUUAAAGCACUUGUUAAGUUAUACACCCGAAAUGCUCAGAAGGUCCUCCCACCA